CAGUAAAUGCUGUGGCAUGAAGGACCCUCCUGGAGUGUCUGAGUUCUCAGGCUUCAAGGCCCCUAGAUAAGCAGAUUUCUCUCCCCUAUCACCAUAGUCACCCCAGGGACUGCAGGGCAGGCCGAAAUCAGCCAGUGACUCAGCUCCUUGGGCAAUUCAGCUGGCCCACAGACCACUUCCUCUGCUCCCCAGCGCCGGAUGGAUGCAGAUCUGUUUCCAACUAAGGACUGAGCACACUCUCAACAUGGACCUCCUAACUGCUCUCGAGGAUGGACAGCUGGCCUCAAGGGAACACUGCAAAGUGGCUCUAGGAAGAAGCCACUGUCCCUCCAGACCAUAAAAAUGGCUACCAAGGGCAGAGCCAGCAGCUUUCGCUGUAAAGUUUCUCAAGAAAAUCACAGAUAUUCCCCUCUGUGAUGUUCAGCUCAGCCUGGAAAGGAGAGGUAGAAACUGAGAGUUGAAGAGGCUGAAUAAUUUCUCAAGCACACUCCCAACUCGACCACCCACAAGCAAAAAGGCAGAGCUGGGAUUCAAACACAGGUAUGACUGUGUGUGGACAUCUCCCCUGUGCUAUGCUCCCUGAAGGAAAAUUCUAAGUGGUGUUGUUUCUGGGAGAAAUCUACCUGUGUGGUCUUUAAACCUACUCUGACAGGAGCAAGGGCCACCACUCUGUAUCUAAGACCACUGGGAACAGUCUUCAGGCAACAAGGUGACCAGGGCAGCUGCAGAGGGUAUCUAUGCCCCUGCCCCCUAGCGCAAAAGUCUGUUUCUCUUUCCAAAUGGCCCGCUGGGAGCAACUAUUUAGGGAGACCAUACCUCCUCCCACACUCAGUUCCCAGGCCUGAGCCACAGAGUCCUGCCACAGGAGGGAGGACCUGCCUGUCCUGCUCCCUCCCCACUCCAGGUUCCUGGAGGCCUCUGUGAUGAUUCCCCAGGAAGGACUACAGGAUCUGGCAGGCAGCAGGUGGCGGUGGGAGGAGGAGAGUCCUGGGAGCACAGCACUCCUAACCCCCUCUGCCUCUCACAGAACAAAGAGGGAGUCAUGCCAUGUCCCCUGCUCCCACAAAUGCCCCACCCAGAGGGGCUAAUGCCUAGGAUUGAGGGUCUUGUGUGCUGAGGAAGUCCUGUCCCCCAAUCCCCUACAAAAGCCAGAACCAGCUACUAAGGGGUUAGACACAGACAGAACUGUCUAUAUUAACAUUUCCUCCUAAAAAACAACAGGAAUCCUGGGGAAAGACCACUGGCCUGGGACUCCAUGAGCCCUGGCUUCUAUCUCUGGCUUUAUCAGGUGACCAUAGGCAAGUCACCUAGCCUCCAUGGUCUAGGCUCUCCUGCCUGUUGGGUGGGAAUCAUUACAUAUCACAAUCAUUACAGCUGACCUUCAGGGAGGCUGUACUCUGGGUCAGGAAUUGUGUUGGGUGCAUUAUCAUAUUUAUUCUCACAGCACCCUUUGCAGUAGCUACUAUUUUCAUACCCAUUCUCAGAUGAGGAAACUGUGGAACAGGCUGGUUAGGGGACAUGCCCAAAGUGACAAACUUAGCAAAGGUGGACCUGGCACUCAGUACCACAUCUGUUUUUCCAUGCUCUUAACCACUGUAACAUACAGAGCCCUUUUACAGAGAUCAAGGACAGAGGUAAAAGUGUUUUGAAAGCAAAAAAAAAAAAGUGGGGAGGAUGCAUAAAAUAAACAUAAAUCACCCCCUGCCCCGCCCAGACAUAAUUCAGGGAAGAGUCCUAACCCCCAAGAACCUUCUGUGGAACUUAUUCGCAACAUCAGAGACCUCCAACAUAGAAAUGACCCUCAAUAAGUCAUUCCUCUUUCCCUUCAGGCAGGAAUAAUAUAACUAACUGAAUUAUACAGGUGAGACCACGAAGGUCAAGCAAGGGUGACCAGCUUAGGCCCCUGGCUGGCAGGUAAGGAGGAGACUGACCCCAGCCUCCUGGCUCCUAGGGGAGGAAACAGUGAUGACAAAGGCCCCUUUGCAUGGCCAAGGUGGAGCCCUUUCUACCAAAGUUUAAACGUUUUAGUAUAAUAUCCAAGUGCAUCUUUUCCAACCUUAAAAACAUAUUUAAUUUCCUUAUAAAGCUGGUUGGCACUCUCCUCCUCCUCCAAAGCUCUGUAUUAGGCAGGGUUCAUAGUUGUAGACAACAGA
rnacentral:lncRNA from 1 species